CUUAGUACUCUUACUGAGUGGAAAGUGGCGUCAUCUGUUAACAAAAAAAAAAAAAUGUUUUUAUCGCCUACAUCCGAUUUUGAUGGGAAUGGGAGCGGUUCUCGCUAAUGGUGCCCGAAAAUUUUGUCAGAACUAAAUUGUACCUAUGGUAUGGUUACGAAAUACCAGUGAUAUACGGUAAUGUAUAUAUCACUGGUAUAAUUCGUAUAAGUAAUUAAUGCCGUAUUUUGUACCGUACCGCCACCGACAUAAAUUUUUGAUAUCGAAACAUAAAACUGAUAUUGAUGAUACACUCAGCAUAGUAAGAUAUGGAAAUGAUAACCGAUUAUGAAGACUAUUCUUGGAUAAUAAUAACGGUCUAUAUCCAGAAACUAAAGUUUUUAAUGGUAAAAACGUAUUCGAUGUCGAUGAUACUUGUUAGAACUGAUUCUGGCCCACACAUCAAAGUCAGAAAUGAUUUUAUGAUUCAAAAAUGUAAUUGUUGGAUACAGUAAACUCCCGUACACGUGGAAGAUACGUUCCGCAUUAUAGGAAAUCGCCUAUUAUUUAUAUUAUUUAUUUAUAUCGAAUACUAGUCGCAGUUUUUUCAUCGCGUUAUAUGACAGUUUUACUGUGUGUGUUUAUUAGUUCGAUUUAAAGCUAAUAUAAGAUAUAUAUGGAUAAAGGAAAAUGGACUUCCGCUAGUGUCGGGUUUCUCUAUAAUAAUGUGUAUGUGACGGUAUCCAAUGAAUAAGAUUAAUACGAUUAACAGAUUGGAUUAAAAUGAACAGGCAAUCUUCUAUCCGUAAAAAUGCUAAAAUCGAAAGUAUUGGGCCCAAUUCGAUUACCUGUACAUUCUCAAUUUGGAGGACAGUUUUAUCUGUACCUGAUGGGUCGAAAUCCAUGAUUAUAAUUUUUAAAAUAACUAAAACAGCUAAUCUUAAGCAUAAUAAAACAGCUAAUCUUGGUCACGCGCUAAUCAUCGAACGAGACGAAACCAUAAGAUACUGAAAUAUAUGAUGGUUUCGAUACUAAAACGAAUAGAGAAACACCCCAACAGAUUAGACCUGGCGCCAGCUAUCAAAUUCUGUGGCCAGAUUAUCACAUGACGCGAUAUUUUAUUUAAAGUUAUUAUAAAACACAUAAUCACGCGCAUAACAUUGAAUCUUUGGCAUUACGCAUUAAUGUAGCACUAGAGUCGGCCGGAUUGGCUGCAUGGAAACGCUUCGGCUUUCCACUCUGGAGGACCCGGGUUCGAGUCUCGGC
rnacentral:lncRNA from 1 species